CAGUAGCCACGGUAAUACGAAGGGUGCAAGCGUUAAUCGGAAUUACUGGGCGUAAAGCGUGCGUAGGCGGUUUGUUAAGUCUGCUGUGAAAUCCCCGGGCUCAACCUGGGAAUGGCAGUGGAUACUGGCAAGCUAGAGUGUGUCAGAGGAUGGUGGAAUUCCCGGUGUAGCGGUGAAAUGCGUAGAGAUCGGGAGGAACAUCAGUGGCGAAGGCGGCCAUCUGGGCCAACACUGACACUGAGGCACGAAAGCGUGGGGAGCAAACAGGAUUAGAGACCCCCGUAGUCCCUGUCUCUUAUAC
rnacentral:rRNA from 1 species